rnacentral:misc_RNA from 1 species
AAGUCGUAACAAGGUUUCCGUAGGUGAACCUGCGGAAGGAUCAUUAACACGUACGAAAGUACACACCAACACUGAGCACCUUUUGGUACAACCUCUCCCUUUCGAGUGGGCUGUUAGUAUGAAUGCUGCUAUAGGACAUUCAUCUAGCAGGCUCGUGUCUUUACACGAACCCACUUUGAAGGUUACCUUUUUCCUUAGCACAUUUUACCAUUAUCACCUAUAAUUACAUUUGUCUAAUGUAGCGGCACUGGAGAAAUCCGUGCAGCUUGAUUAUCUAAACUAAGCACAACUCUUAGCAAUGGAUAUCUAGGUUCUC